rfam:Picea glauca, whole genome shotgun sequence.
CGUGUAACGAUUUCCUAGUGGUCUUAUGUACUUGAUCCCAUUAGAACUUUGCAGUUAGGUGUGCCUUGGAUAGAGUAGUACUGGGAUGGGUGACCUCUCGGGAAGUCCUAGUGUUUUACAUGC